CGAUGAGGAUUCUACAAUCAAUAAAAAAGAAAAGAAAUGUAAAUCAUAUUCGCGCUUACUUAGAGAUAAUACGUUAUCGAAUAGAGCAGGAAUUAUCCACGACCUGUUGGCAAGCUCUCGACACUUUAUUCUGGAUUUGUAAUCUCUUGCAAGCACGAUUACUAGGAGUGGCAGAUUGGAUUGAACGUCAGUCGUCCAGCAUAGCGGCUUCAAAUUUAGCGCGCGACUUGCGCGCCUCUAAAAAAUCAAUGAGUCCAGCCGGCGAGGAGAAUUGUACCAGCGCAAUCCCUUCGAGUCGUAUCAGAGACGUGCUCGGCGUGUCCCUUAGGAACUUAACUAUUUUACCUUCUAAAUUUCUCAAUUAUCUCAACAAGAAAGAUGUAACAACAUCGAAUUGCGAAAUGCCGGGUCAGGAAGACAUGGACCUUUGCACCGACAAAGUCCUAUCCAAGAGUAGAAUUCUUCAAGAAUUAACGAAAGCCGUCAAAUUGGUUUACGCUCAGAGUCUGUAUGGUACCGUAGUCUUGGAUGGAGAUUCCUGGCUUGUUUAUUGGCUAGAUCGAGCCCUGAGACAUGGUUUACGCAUAGAAAGACACGGAUACUGGGGUACAGCAAGAGAACUAAGUCAUCAGGAUACUGUUGUGGUGAUUCAUGCACUCCAAAGUGUACUAACUUCCAUAGGAAAAGGUAGAGCAUGGUUAUAUCAUACCCUCAGCGAAGGCAGCUUUGAAAGUUAUUUAGCCUGCUUACUACGGGAUACUAAAACUUUAAAGAAACAAUACUUUCAACAUGCACUUGUUCGCGAUGCCGAUAAGACAAACCAACUUGUAAAUCUCCUUGCUGGUUUAGAAAAUGUCUCCUUCACUCUACAACUAGAUGUGACAUACUUGGACAUCUGCAAUUAUAUGCCACAAAGGCCUAUGAGCAUAAACUCUUCUGGAACUGUAUUAUCUUUACAUCUAAGAUCUUCUAGCGUAUGCUCGAGCUUAGCCUCUCCCGGAGAUAGUGGUGUUGCAUUCGAUAGUGACAUGGACUUAGCGAAUGAAACUGAUGCCAGCAGUUAUAAAGAAGAAGAUUCUUCGAUGGAUGAUAUCCCAGAUUAUCGAAAUAACAGAUACAAAGUUAUUAUUAACAACUGUAUACAAGAGAACAAGAAUUUUAGCUCGAGUGAUUCUAGCGAGGAUGGAAAAACACCAAUGCAGUCUCCUGCAGUUAGCAAAUUUCAAAAUGUGAUUAUGACAAAGAGCGACAUCGCUAAUCAAAAUUUAACUCGAAAGCUCGAAGAUAACGAACUCAACUGUUCGAGUUUGGACACUUUAAAAGGCUACGAUUUUUACAGCAGAAGUCUUGAUACAGUUCACUUGGAUGCUGUUAACAAUAAAUGCGAUAACGGAAUUAAAGAAAUAAAUAAAAGAAGCAGCUAUUAUGGGGAUGGCAGCUAUAGUUUCAAGAAGAACAUAGAUCCUCGUAAUUCUUACGUGAUUAAUAAUGAUACUAAUCUCUUGGAAUUGAGCAUGACCAUUUCUGAUUGCGAUAACAUAGAGCCUCCUUAUGGUAUUCUGAACACACUUAGCAUGACAGAUGCGAGCAUUCUGUCAACUUCUAGUUCUGAAGCCAUAGUACAACGUAGACAACGUAAGAAGAAACGUGGUGAAAGCAAAAAACGUGUUAGUUUUCACGAAGAUAUUCUAAAAACAAUGAAAUUAGAUGACGACGAAAGCUAUGCUGAUUUCUCCAUGAGCUUUCUAACGCCGAACUCAAUUCAAAAAAAGGAUGCUCAGAAGGGACGUUACAGUUGGUGCGGACACGGAGAUUCUCCUUAUGUUAAAAAAAGUACCAAUACAAGAAACGCGCAUUCUGAUUAUUAUUCCUUUUCGUCGUCAUCGAGCGUAUUCGAUAGUGAUCUUGAGAAAAAAGGAGCAGAAAAGUUAUGCAACCAAACCUUGUGCCAGAAAAAUUGUAAAUGUUCUUGCGGUCUAUCUUUACCAGAACGUGGUUCACCAGAAGGACAAGAGGAUCCUGCUAAAAGUUUAAGACCAAAAAUGGAGAUAGAAUUAGAAGAGAACGAGGCGCAAGAAGCAUAUAUCAUUGAAAAACAAUAUGGUAAUAUUGUUGAAGAUCCACCAGUAAAAGUAGAAAUGCCGAGACCGUUAAACAUUAAGAAAUAUGCCAGUUCUAGUGAUUGGUCCGACGUAGAGAGCAUUACAACUUCUGAUUUAGAAGAACGUAAGAUUAAUAGGCACUUAGCUUCGCCGUCUAAAAAACGUAACAUGACCUCGAUAUUAACGGGUGAAAGUAGUAAUAAAUUAUUGGCACCUCCUUUACGACAUGCACCAUCUAAAACGUCAUUGUUGAGUAGAUUUUUGAGAUCUAUUACAGAAAGGAAAUUUGAAAAUAAGAAAACGAAGAAACCACAGAAGGCUAAUCCCUUGUACAUCAAAGGAGUCAAAGCUAAUUAUGAUUCCUUUAAGGAUUUUAAUGAUAAUCUUGAUAGAGAAAUACAAGAGAAUGUUGCUGCAGAAAAGCAAGAAUUUAGUGGAGAAAAAAUAAGCCUAAAAUUGCGAGAAACCUUUAAGAAACAUAUUUACAGAGACAAGACAGAAGAAUUGUAUAAAGUUUAUAAAGUUAGAAGUUCAUACAUGACAAAUGGAGAAAGCAAGCCUAUGAUCGCGCUACUAACGGAUAAAACAUUAUAUUUAACUGGCUCAAAGAUGGAUCAUUCUUACAGUAAUCAAUUCGUGAUUCCUUACAACGAGCUUGAUGUUAUAAUGAUUGGACCAAAUGCACAAACGAUUCUAAUCUCCAACGCCGAUUAUGAGAUGCAGUAUCUAUUUUCUACUGGCAAUUCGCAAACCACUUCUGAAUUAAUUACACACUUGGAAAUAGCUAUGAGAAGAUCGCCAUCAAAACCUCAAUUGCCAGCUGUAAAAGAACUAAGUUACGAAGACAUGCAUAUUUUGAAGCAGUCGAUAUUGUCCGAUACUGCUGUACAUCCUGAUGAAAAAAUAGAACAUUACAGUCUUAUUUAUAUGGAGGAUGAACACAUGUCUCCUCCAAGUACACCAUGUGGUCCAACCAAGGAAGGAGAUCUUAUGUUUAGACCUCAUACUUAUCAGCAAAUACAUCCCAAUGCACCAAUAAAUCCUUGGGAAGCUGGAUAUUUUGUUCUUAAAGGCGGUGUAGUUUACAUGUUUACCGAUUCAAAUCAACGCCUUCCUAAACGUGCCAUUCCAUUAAAAGGUGGCCUUUGUCAAGGUUGCAGAAGAAUUCCCAACUCCCAUAGACCGCAUACAUUUGAAAUACUUUUGAAACCAAACAAAGCAUUUCAAUUUGCUGCUCCAGAUGAAUAUGUUGCUUCCGAAUGGUUGCAGAGUUUUGUGCAGAGUGCAUCUGGUUUGUUUGAUUGUUCAGAUAAGAGAGAGCCUAUGCCUUGUAGUCUUAUCACGACUACCAGACAUCUAGUUGCUAUGAAAGAAGUAUAUCCAGGUACUCAACGCAAUCAAACAUUAUCCUGUGCUUCUGUGGAAGACUUAACAGCAUUCAGAGUACCCUUACCUGAACAAUCUUGGUGUAUAUUGGAAUUCGCAUGCCGGGAGGUUCACGAAAGUAGCGGUGAUUGGGUUAUAUAUUUUACUAAUUAUACAGAGCUCUGUACCUUUAGAGAGAUAUUACAAACAUUAUGGGCCGAUGCGGAUUUGGGUGAAUUUCCUAUGGUUACGCUUCCUCCAGAAGAUAAACUUCAUCGACGCUGUUCGGAUGCUAGUAAAGAUUUAGAAUAUGCUUGGCAAUAUUUAUUACCGUCAACAGUCGAAUAAACAGUAAAGUGUAUCAAUAGAGACACAAUAGAAAUACUUUUAAAAAGAUAUUUUACUUUAUCUCACGAUAAAGAAAAAAGAACAAAAAAUUGCAUAUUGAUAACCUACAAGGUAAUAUCGAAAAAACCUAAAAUAAUGAAUUUUACUUUCAAUGAUAUAAUACACUACACGUUUUAAGUGCUAUGUUACUAAGAAGUAGCAUACUAUGCAGAAAUUACAACGUACAUAUAUGUUAUAUUUUAGUUUUAAAUUAAAUCGAAAAUUUGAGUAAUGUAUUGAAUGUUUAGGUUGCCUGAUUUUAACUUAGUAAUUUUAAAUGAUAUUAAUUAAUUGUGCCGCGUGCACAAAGUGGUGCAAUAUACUGUCUCUUAGUAUAAGGUUUCCUGAUUAUUUACUAGUAAUUUAUAUUGGUACGUGAAUUGUAAUAUAAUGGCAAUUGUGAAGGAUUGUGUUAAAUCACAUGUAUGAGUGUCUAUGUACUCACAUUUAUCUACGAAAAUAGGAUAAUGAAUAUGCACUAACUGCAAUGAAUUAAUUAUCUUUGAGAAAAUGUUCUCUAAACAAAAAGGAAAAGAAAUCAUAAGCUUAAAUUAACUUUGCAAAAAAUAAUCUAAUACUCUGUAUACCGCUUAUACGGUUAUGAUUUUCCACGAAGAUUGCUUGAAACAUUUAAAAAUAUAAAGUUACAUAUAUGAUCUCAAACAUAAGAUUUAAAUGCUUUACGUUCACACUAUUGGAUUAAAUGAUUUAAAAGACUUCACGAAUCAUUAUGGAGCUGUAAUGGUAAAAUCUUGUGAAGUAUCGUGGCAAGACAAAUAAUAAAACAGUUGUAUAUUAUUAAAAUUAUAUAUAGAGUGCAUAUAUUCAUAAAAUUAUAAACGACUAUAUAGUUAUGAUUACCAGCAACACACUAAAAGGCACAUGUACCUUCGUCAAAUUCUAAAAAGUAAGUUAUGUAGGCAGCUUUUUAUUUAUAAUUGAAAAAAAAUAGUUAAUAUCCAAUUCUAUAAUUUGAUAAUUUUGUAGAGUUAUUCAAUAAUCUAUUAACGAUAAAUUAUUAAAUUAAAAUUUUCACCUUAUUGUUUUGUUUAUAUUGUCGGUGUAGAUUUAAUAUCGUUUGAUUUAUGUGAUACAUAUGUUAUAUAUCCUAGUAAUGUUAAUUUAUGCAUCGUAUUCUAUUGUUUUUUUUUAUAUAUUAUUUUCUUUUAUGUGGAAAGCAUACAGAAAUAGAUUUUUUACGUAUUACAGUCAUCUAAUAUUAACAUUCAAAUCUGUGUACUUUCUACAUAAAUUUUUAUUCAACAAAAAUACUAUAUCAGUUUAAAACAAAUAAAACUAAUCCAAGCUAGUCAAA